UACGGAGGGUGCAAGCGUUGCUCGGAAUUAUUGGGCGUAAAGCGCACGCAGGCGGCUUGGUAAGUCAGUUGUGAAACUCCCGGGCUUAACUUGGGAACUGCAGCUGAUACUGCCAUGCUUGAGUACGGUAGAGGAAGGUGGAAUUCCCGGUGUAGCGGUGAAAUGCGUAGAGAUCGGGAGGAACAUCAGUGGCGAAGGCGGCCUUCUGGACCAGUACUGACGCUGAGGCACGAAAGCGUGGGGAGCAAACAGG
rnacentral:rRNA from 1 species